AUAAACGCUGGCGGCGUGCAUGAGACAUGCAAGUCGAACGGACGAUCGAGGCUUGCUUCGAUCGUUAGUGGCGGACGGCUGAGUAACGCGUAGGUGACCUGCCCCGAAGUGGGGAAUAACUGCCCGAAAGGGUGGCUAAUACCGCAUGUGGUGGUGUGUUCAAUCACACCAGUAAAGCCGCAAGGCGCUUCGGGAGGGGCCUGCGUCCGAUUAGCUCGUUGGUGGGGUAACGGCUCACCAAGGCGACGAUCGGUAGGUGGUCUGAGAGGACGAUCACCCAGACUGGGACUGAGACACGGCCCAGACUCCUACGGGAGGCAGCAGUCGGGAAUUUUGCGCAAUGGACGAAAGUCUGACGCAGCAACGCCGCGUGAGGGAUGAAGGCCUUCGGGUUGUAAACCUCUUUUAUCAGGGAAGAUAAUGACGGUACCUGAUGAAUAAGUCACGGCUAACUACGU
rnacentral:rRNA from 1 species